CGUGAGCAAUCUGCCCAUAUCUGGGGGAUAACAGUUGGAAACGACUGAUAAUACCGCAUAAUAUUAUUUGAAGGCAUCUUCUUAUAAUCAAAGAUUUAUCGGAUAUGGAUGAGCUCGCGUCUGAUUAGCUUGUUGGUGAGGUAACGGCUCACCAAGGCGACGAUCAGUAGCCGACCUGAGAGGGUGAUCGGCCACAUUGGAACUGAGACACGGUCCAAACUCCUACGGAAGGCAGCAG
rnacentral:rRNA from 1 species